AUUGAACGCUGGCGGCAGGCCUAACACAUGCAAGUCGAGCGAGCGGCGGACGGGUGCGUAAUGCCAGGGAAUUGCGCAGUAGAGGUGGCUAACAGUUGGAAACGACUGCUAAUCCCGCAUACGAUUGGAUUGCCCAGGUGGGAUUAGCUAGUGGGUGCGGUAAUGGCUCACCAAGGCGACCAUCCCUAGCGGGUCUGAGAGGAUGAGCAGCCACACGGGAACUGAGACACGGUCCAGACUCCUACGGGAGGCAGCAGUGGGGAAUAUUGCACAAUGGGGGAAACCCUGAUGCAGCCAUGCCGCGUGUGGGAAGAAGGCCUUCGGGUUGUAAAGCACUUUCAGCGAGGAGGCGUUACUCGCAGAAGAAGCACCGGCUAACUCCGUGCCAGCAGCCGCGGUAAUAC
rnacentral:rRNA from 1 species